AGGAUUUAGGAUAUAUUUAGGAUUUGAUUUAGAAUCUAGGAUUUCUUUUAAGAUUAAAUAUAGGAUCUAAGAUUUUUUUAGGAUUUGAUUUAGGAUUUAGAAUUUUUUUAGGAUUUAAUUUAAGAUUUAAGAUUUGUUUAAGGUUUGAUUUAGGAUUUGAUUUAGGAUUUAGAAUUUUUAUAGGAUUUGAUUUAGAAUUUAGGAUUUUUUUAGGGUUUGAUUUAGGAUAUAGGAUUUGUUUAGGAUUUGAUUUAGGAUUUAGGGAUUAUUUAGGGUAUGAUUUAGGAUUUGAAUUUAGGGAUUUUGGUUUAAGAUUUGAUUUAGGAUUUAGGAAUUUUUUAGGAUUUAAUUUAGGAUUUAGGAUUUAUUUAAGAUUUGAUUAAGGAUUUAAAAUUUAUUUAGGAUUUAGGAUUUGGUAUAAGAUUUGAUUGAAGUCUAUUAGGAUUUUAAUUAAGAAUAAAUUAGGACUUGAUUGAAAUUUAUUUAAGAUAUAUUAGAACUUGAUUUUUAUAUUUCUUUAAGAUUUUUUAAGGAUUCUUUUAAAAUUUAUUGUAA
rnacentral:lncRNA from 1 species